CAACAGUUACAAGGUCACGCAUAAAAUAUUUCCGCUGCCAGCGCUCUGUGUUAAUUAGUGAAGUUUCUGUGCUGCUGGACUAAAAUCAACUUUUGGAGAAGUAAAACUAUAAGCAAAUUAUUAUAUUAAAAUAAAAUAUUAUUUCACAAGUCAACAAAGUGAACAUAGUGCAAAUAAGUACAGACGAGUAUAUAAUUAGAGUAAAAAAGUAAAUAAAUGAAUUUUUAAUAGUGCUUGAGUCGUUCGCUGCGUUUCGUUGUUGCUUCGGUUUCUUAUUGCGUUGCUGCAAUUCGUAAUUUUCGCGAAGUUUCUACGGCAAAAAGUAAUCGCGUGUGAUAAGUUUUGUGCAGUGAUUAUUAGUGUAAUAGUAUUUUUAUUAAUUAUGCGUCGUGUGUUUGAUCGGUCAAUGAAAAUCGAGUGUGAAGUGUUGCAUUGAAAUCGUUUAGUUUGUCGGUAGUGUGUCAAUGAUUAGUGUUAUUUAAUAAAAUAUGCGAAAUCGCGAGUGAAAAUAUAAUAGUAAUAAUAGUAGAACUAGUAAUAAAGCAAAAACUAAAGUGAAGACUGACUCUACAGGACUUUAUUUUCUAAGAGCGGAUAAAAGAAGAAUAAUGAGGAGAAGAAUAUGUGUAAUUGGGCACUUGAGUGGAUACUAUGUAACACUAAGUGGAAGAUAACAAUAACCUAAGAAAACAGUUACAUGGUCACCCUGUGAACACUAUUUGGGUUGCUAAAGCUUUGUAAUAAAAGCGAAAAAAGA